UACGAAGGGAGCUAGCGUUGUUCGGAAUCACUGGGCGUAAAGCGCACGUAGGCGGACGUGUCAGUCAGGGGUGAAAUCCCGGAGCUCAACUUCGGAGCUGCCUUUGAUACAGCACGUCUUGAGUCCGGAAGAGGUGGGUGGAAUUCCUAGUGUAGAGGUGAAAUUCGUAGAUAUUAGGAAGAACACCGGUGGCGAAGGCGGCCCACUGGUCCGGUACUGACGCUGAGGAGCGAAAGCGUGGGGAGCGAACAGG
rnacentral:rRNA from 1 species